GCAUCUGCAGUUCCUUCUUAAAAAGAGGGACUAGGAGUUGGCGGUUGGCAUAAACUGGUUUGUGACUGGAUCAAAUG